GCCCAGGUGGCGGAACUGGUAGACGCACUACCUUGAGGUGGUAGCGCCGCAAGGCGUGGGGGUUCGAGUCCCCCCUUGGGCACCA
rnacentral:tRNA from 1 species